GCCUUCGUGGUGUAGUGGUCAAGACGCUCACCGCGUAUUCGAGAGGUCCGUGGUUCGAGUCCCGGUGAGGGCA
rnacentral:tRNA from 1 species